CGAACGAGCUCUAACUCUUCCGAGGGAAAAGCUGAGUGGCGGACGGGUGAGUAACGCGUGGGUACCUGCCCUAUACAGGGGGACAACAGUUGGAAACGACUGCUAAUACCGCAUAAGACCGCAUGGUAAAAACUCCGGUGGUAUAGGAUGGGCCCGCGUCUGAUUAGCUAGUUGGAGGUGUAACGGACCACCAAGGCGACGAUCAGUAGCCGGCUUGAGAGAGUGAACGGCCACAUUGGGACUGAGACACGGCCCAAACUCCUACGGGAGGCAGCAGUGGGGAAUAUUGCACAAUGGGGGAAACCCUGAUGCAGCAACGCCGCGUGAGUGAAGAAGUAUUUCGGUAUGUAAAGCUCUAUCAGCAGGGAAGAAAAUGACGGUACCUGACUAAGAAGCCCCGGCUAACUACGUGCCAGCAGCCGCGGUAAUACGUAGGGGGCAAGCGUUAUCCGGAUUUACUGGGUGUAAAGGGAGCGCAGGCGGUCUGGCAAGUCUGAUGUGAAAUCCCGGGGCUCAACCCUGGAACUGCAUUGGAAACUGUCAGACUAGAGUGCCGGAGAGGUAAGUGGAAUUCCUAGUGUAGCGGUGAAAUGCGUAGAUAUUAGGAGGAACACCAGUGGCGAAGGCGGCUUACUGGACGGU
rnacentral:rRNA from 1 species